GUUUGACAGCUGAAACUACUUGGCUCCUCUGGGUUUGGUAUCUUGGUCUCUACAGAGCCGUGGCUAUCAUAGUACUCCCUGUAUAGACCAGGUUGGCCUCAAACUCACAGAGAUCUGCCUGCUUCUACCUCUUGACUGUUGGGACUAAGGAUGUGUGCCACUAUACCUUGCCUAACCUGCUGGUCUGUUACUUAGACCCUCCACAUUCUUUUCCACCUCAAAAAGAUCACCGCCCACCAUGAGGAUCAGUAACGCCAACAAACUCCCAUACCACCAUGUAUGGCUUUGCUGUCCUGAGGUCUCUGAUGAAUGGACUUUAAAAAAACUGUCCUGUGAUCAUGGUGCUAUCUGGUCCCAUGAACUGGAAAUCAAGUGCUGUCUCUUUUACCCCCUGCUCCCUUAAUAAUGUCUUCCAGUCCCUGGUAUGUGAGGGGACCUCGGAUGGAAACAACCAAGUUUCCCAAAUGGCCUGUAUACGUCAGCCCGUCAGGGCCGAUUUCCCUCUCAGUGCUCUGUCCUGUAGCCCUUGACUCAAGGGAAGAUGAGGAAUUAGAUUACUGGAUCUCUC